GCCCGCCUAGCUCAAUCGGAUAGAGCGUCAGACUCUUACAGUGCGGUUGGGCAUGGGCAACAAUCUGAAGGCUGCGAGUUCGACCCUCGCGGUGGGCU